UUGAACGCUGGCGGCAGGCCUAACACAUGCAAGUCGAACGGUAACAUUUCUACCUUGCUAGAAGAUGACGAGUGGCGGACGGGUGAGUAAUGGUUGGGAACUUGCCUUUGCGAGGGGGAUAACAGUUGGAAACGACUGCUAAUAACGCAUAAUGUCUUCGGACCAAACGGGGCUUCGGCUCCGGCUCAAAGAGAGGCCCAAGUGAGAUUAGCUAGUUGGUAAGGUAACGGCUUACCAAGGCGACGAUCUCUAGCUGUUCUGAGAGGUAGAUCAGCCACACUGGGACUGAGACACGGCCCAGACUCCUACGGGAGGCAGCAGUGGGGAAUAUUGCACAAUGGGGGAAACCCUGAUGCAGCCAUGCCGCGUGUGUGAAGAAGGCCUUCGGGUUGUAAAGUACUUUCAGUUGUGACGAAAAGUUAGUAGUUAAUACCUGCUAGCCGUGACGUUAACAACAGAAGAAGCACCGGCUAACUCCGUGCCAGCAGCCGCGGUAAUACGGAGGGUGCGAGCGUUAAUCGGAAUUACUCGGCGUAAAGCGCACGCAGGCGGUUUGUUAAGCUAGAUGUGAAAGCCCCGGGCUCAACCUGGGAUGGUCAUUUAGAACUGGCAGACUAGAGUCUUGGAGAGGGGAGUGGAA
rnacentral:rRNA from 1 species